AUUAGCUUUUUAAUUGAAGGCUAGAAUGAAUGGUUGGACAAGAAAUAAUCUGUCUUAAAUUAAUAUAUUGAAUUUAACUUUUAAGUGAAAAGGCUUAAAUGAUCUAAGGGGACGAUAAGACCCUAUAAAACUUUAUAUUUUAAGGUGGAAACUAAUUUUAUUUUGAAAUUACUAUUUUAAACUAUUUUGUUGGGGCGACAAGGAUAUAAGAAAGGGUAACUGUCUUUUAUUUUUACAAUAAUAUUUGAAUCACUGAUCCUAAAAGGGAUUGAAGAUUAAGUUACUUUAGGGAUAACAGCGUAAUUUUCUUUGAGAGUUCUUAUCGACAAGAAAGUUUGCGACCUCGAUGUUGAAUUAAAGGUUCUUUAUAGAGUAGAGACUAUAAGAGAAGGUCUGUUCGACCUUUAAAGUUUUACAUGAUUUGAGUUCAGACCGG
rnacentral:rRNA from 1 species